AUUGAACGCUAGCGGCAUGCCUUACACAUGCAAGUCGAACGGCAGCGGGGGAGAAGCUUGCUUUUCCUGCCGGCGAGUGGCGAACGGGUGAGUAAUACAUCGGAACGUGCCCUGUAGUGGGGGAUAACUAGUCGAAAGAUUAGCUAAUACCGCAUACGACCUGAGGGUGAAAGUGGGGGACCGCAAGGCCUCAUGCUAUAGGAGCGGCCGAUGUCUGAUUAGCUAGUUGGUGGGGUAAAGGCCUACCAAGGCGACGAUCAGUAGCUGGUCUGGGAGGACGAUCAGCCACACUGGGACUGAGACACGGCCCAGACUCCUACGGGAGGCAGCAGUGGGGAAUUUUGGACAAUGGGCGAAAGCCUGAUCCAGCAAUGCCGCGUGUGUGAAGAAGGCCUUCGGGUUGUAAAGCACUUUUGUCCGGAAAGAAAUGGCUCUGGUUAAUACCUGGGGUCGAUGACGGUACCGGAAGAAUAAGGACCGGCUAACUACGUGCCAGCAGCCGCCGUAA
rnacentral:rRNA from 1 species